UAGACAUGCCACCCUGAAGGAGACAUGGAGGUCUGGAUCUCCAGGUACAGUACUGAUUUUUUGCUGGCUAUUCAAACUAAUCCAAAUUUUUACUUCAUGCCUCCACCAAGUCUGGCAUAGUUCACAACUAUGGGAAUCUGAUGAGCCUUAAUCAAACUAAAUAGCAUUUAAGGAACUCCUGGGAAGAGUUUCAUAGCAUUAUUUUAAAUCACUGUUUUUGAGUAACUGGAUUUAUUAAUUCAUUGAUUGGCUCAGAAAUUUUCAAAAAAAAGUAUCUCUGUGUCUUUGACAUAAGAAAGUGAGUCUCCUGUCAUUUUCCGGUUUACCCUUGCUAACCAAGUUCUUUUGGGCCCUUCUCUCUGCCAUGCAAAGGGAACAUGGGCUCCUCUAAGACUUAUCUGAAUAACUGUAGUUCUAAUUUUUUAAACUCUCCAACCGAGUAAAAAAAUUUCAGGAGUUUUUAAAUAAUAGUUUUAUAGCUUUCCUUUACAGAGGAGGAAAAACUUGACUAUAGCAAUAGCAGCAGAAAUUCAGAGGACUAGGUCUCUUCCUUGUCCCUUUUUGAGAAAUGGAUCCAUCCUUGGGAUCUUAGGAUAAUGACAAUGCAAAGCAGCUGAUUUCUUUUUAAUCAACAAAUGAGAUUGAGACCAGCAUAACAAACGACAGGGGAGAAUAAGGCCCUUGACUGUUUUAUUUCAUCAGUGCCCUUUGCUUCAGGGUUGUCUCUGUUGGGAUGGUUUCUUAGGCUGAAAAAAAGUGGGGGAACAAUAUCUUUGUUUGGUAUGUCUGGCACAUUUUUAAUAGACCUGAUAAAAAGAACUGAUAACUAACAUUUAUUGAGAAAUUAAUACAUGGCUUUCUUGGGGGUAAGGGCUUUGCAUGAAUUAUUUUGUUUAAUGCACAUAACAACCCGGCCAAAUAUUAUUAUCUGACCCAUAAGUAAACUAAAUGUGUAAUUUUCCCAAAGUCAGUACAAGAUGAAACUGUGGUUGAACGUGAUUUGUCUGACUUCCAGAGCCUGCUCUGUUAUUCUAUGUGCUGUGCCACCUUUAAUUCUUAUACAAGAAGUAGACUUUAACAGGCUUAGACAUCUUUGAAGGACAGAUGGUAAGUAAUCCUAAAAAAGAAAUUUAUCUUAGGUCCUCAGUUUGUUAUGGGAAGGAAGAAAGGCUGAUAAUAUUGUCCAGAUACGUUUUUGCUAUGUGUUUGUCUGAAGAGCAAAAGAAUCCCAGAUUACUUAUGCUAAAUACCCAAGACUGUUCACUGGACACUUAUCUUCUUUCUAUUGAAUUUAAAAGAAACAUAUGGGUUACUAUGUUUAACCAGCCAUCUGCCAUCAUGAACAAAUUCUUGAGGAAAUUGCUUUGGACCUAAAGUACAGCACAUGUUUGAUCUUUAUGUAUAUCAUAUUUUUUCAAUUUGGAAACUUUGAAGGAAAGAGAUAAAAAGGGUGCAAGAAGAAAAAUGGAAAGCAAAAAAAAAAAAAAGACAAGAAAAAAUCCACUAACAAACUAAACAAAUUAAAAAAAAAAAGAGGAAUUAUUUUAAAAAGUAAAACGAGGGCUUCAUGGCGUCCUGAACUAGGGAGAGUAAGAGGCAGUGAACUAAAGCUGCCCAAAUAGAUCUAACCUGACACAAAAUCAGGGGUACUACGUACUGAACAGAGAAGAUAAGAAAAUAGUAAAGAAACUCUUGUUAAUGUCAGUUUAGUCGAGAUUGAUCAUUCUGGAAAAGAUGAUAGCUUUAAUUUUAUGUGAGUAGGAUGAAUAAUGACAUCUGAAAAUGUAUAUGUUGGAUCCCUGGGGAAGAAGGGACUCAGCAUAGGUGAUUCAAUUAGGAAUCUUGAGAUGGGGAGAUUAUGCUGCAUUAUUGAAGUGGCUCCAGUGGAAUCAAAGGGUCCUUCUUAGAGGGAAACAGGAGGGACAGGGUCAAAUAAGGACAUGCAAUGGUAGAAGCAGAUUGAUGCACUUUGCAGAUGGAGGAAGGGGCCACAAGUCAAGGAAUGUAGGUAGCCUCUUCAGAAUCCCCCAGAUGCCCACAGAGGACAGACACCUUGAGUUUAGUUCUACAGACUUAUUUUGGACUUCUUAUCUGAAGAGCUCAAAGAUAACAGAUUUGUAUUGUUUUAAGUCAUUUAGUUUGUGAUAAUUUGCUAUCGCAACAACAGGAAACCAAUACAUACACUUCUGAAAAUACUAACGAUUCACAAUGGAAAAAAAUUUGAACUCCAUUAAUCAUUUUAUCCCCCAUCGUAAUACUAGUCCAUCCCCUAAACCAACCCACUCCUCCCCAUCUCUCAAGCAUCUCUCCUUCCCAUUCUGCUCCUGCUGGUCUUCACCCCUUGAGUGACUUCAGACAGCAGUCUCUAGAUUAUUGUCUCUACUCCCUGAUCCACACUUACUGACAUAUAUUCAUAAAGUGUCAGUGUCAAAAUUUUUGUUGAAUAGAUGAUACCUAAAGAUAAAAGGCUCCAACUCUUUACAAUGGCUUCCAAGACACUAUCCUUCCAUUCUUUUGCACUUCAACUAUAAUGACACAGUACUACCCCAUAAAUGUCAUUUAGUCCUGUCUCCAGGCCCAUGAUAAGAUUUCGACUCCUUUCUGGCCCCCUCUUCUCCCUCUUAGUCAUUGGAACUCAUCACACAUCAUGCACCAAAACACAACUCAACUCCCACCUUUUUCAGAAAUCCUUGCCUGACUAUCACAGAACCUCUUCUUGGUAUUUAACCUGUGAAAAAUGUAGAUUAGGGCCUACUUUUUCUUCUAUUAGGCACAGGGUCUCUGGUUUAAUUCCUAGGUCCUUGAUUCAUUUUGAGUUGAGUUUUGUGCCUGGUGAGAGAUAGGGGUUUAAUUUCAUUUUGUUGCAUAUGGAUUUCCAGUAUUCCCAGCACCAUUUGUUGAAGAGGCUAUCUUUUUUCCAGUGCAUGUUUUUGGCACCUUUGUCUAAUAUAAUUGUAAUUUUGUGGGUUAGUCUCUGUGUCCUCUAUUCUGUACCAUAGGUCUGACAAUCUGUUUUGGUGCCAAUCUGUUUUGGUGCCAAUACCAUGCUGUUUUUGUUACUAUUGCUCUGUAGUAUAGUUUAAGGUCUGGUAUAGUGAUGCUACCUGCUUUGCUCUUCCUGCUAAGGAUUGCUUUAGCUAUUCUGGGUCUCUUAUUUUUAUAGGUGAAUUUCAUGAUUGCCUUUUCUAUUUCUAUGAGAAAUGUCAUUGGAAUUUUGAUCAGAAACUGUAUCCAUCCUUCAAGGCCUAUCCCAGAUGGUACUUCCUCCCUAAAAUUUUCCCAAACCUCUUAGUAGGAAGUGUUAAUGUGUGCCACACAUUUGUUUAUAACUUUGUUAAAAUGUAUUCAUUAUGUUUGCCUUAUAUCACAAAUACUCCUGUGUAAUUGGAUAAUAUUUCUCUUAUCCAAGCAAUUGAAGGGAAAGGUGUCUUAUACAUCAUUACCCUGCUUUCCAGAGUCUUCUGUAUAUAACGUUUAAGAAAUUAUUGAUUAAAUCACUGAAUUUCAUGCAUUUCAAGAAAAACAGCAACCUACAUGCUACUUUUUCUCUUCCAACUCAAGUUUAUUUGCACAUCUGGAACCAAACACUGCUAAGCAUUUGGAAAACUGAGUAUAUUGAGGUCUUGGGUGCCAGGGAGAGUGGUACAGAGCUUUCUUUCUUGUGAGCAGGGCAAGAAUAUCAGUGAGCCCUGAGAAGAAAUUUGUGUAUUUGUCCCUAAUCCCUAAAAACCAAAAUGAAUAAUAAUUCAGAUAAUAAUUUUGAGAGUGUAAGAGGGCAAUAGAACCAUAACAGAUACUUUGCAAGGUCCAGGCAAUGUUGCCUCAUUAACAUCAGGGGUAGAACUCCCCCUACUUUCUACCAUUUAUGGUACCAUCAACACAUGGAGUACUCCACCAAACAGACCUAGACCCCAAUAAUCUGGGGGGACAAAAGAAAACAAAAUCAUCCACACUUAAAGGAGGGGAAGAGAGAGAGAGUUUUUGGAGAAGACAAACACUUGAUCAAAAAUAAUAAAAACCCCUAGUGUACAACACCUGCACCAAAAAUAUUUUCUGACUUGGAAAAAAUAAUAUUAUUUCCCAAAGAAACAAAUGAGCAUUUGAAUUGAAGAAGAGACUGAUCAUUGCUGAGACCCAAAUGAGGAUCUUGUAUGAUCAAGUGGAAAACAUACCUCAAAACACAGAAACAAACAAAAAGAAGUGAAAACUAUGAGGAAAAUAUAACAGGUCUGAGGAAAGGACUGGAAAAGAGAUAAAAAUAAGUAAUCAAAACAUUCCAAUUUCUUACAUAGGAAAAUAGAGGAACGUGGCAAUAAGUAAAUAAGUAGUAGAAAAACAUAGACUGAAUCUGAAUUAGAAGAUUGGCAAAGCACAACCAGUUCCUGGACGGCAAGAAAAAGGAAGCAAAAUAUCUAGGCGCAUCUUAUUAAAAUCCCUGAACUCCAAGAUUAAAAAGAUAAAUCAUAUAAGUGUUCAGAUAAAAAGAACAUUCAAAGCAAACCAUAGACCAUUGUCAAAGUUUUCACUGUAACACUAGAAGCUAUAAAAUGGUAAAAUAUAUCUAUAGAAUUCUAGAAAUACGGCAAUGCCAAAAUUCUAUACCCAGCCAAGCUGCCAUUUCCCAUCAGUCAAAAGUAAGGCAUCACUGAAUAAACAGGAAUUUAGAAAGCACAUUAUUAAUUAGGUCAUUUGAAGAAAAUUCUCAGAAUAAAAUUAACUAAAUAAUAAAUUAAUUUGAAAGAGCCUACACAAUGAUAAAUAUUGGAGGUUUACAACAUAAGUAUCAAAUAAGGACUCAUUAACUAUAGUUGGAGUAUCCCUUGUCUGAAAUGCUUAGGACCAGUUUCACCUUUUAGAUUUUUUUACAAUUUUGGAGUAUUUGCAUAUACAUAAUACAUGCCUUGGGAAUGAGACUUGUUUUAUUAAACAUGAAAUAAUUGGUGUUUCAUAUGUAUCUUAUACACAUACCUUGUAGAUAACUUUACCCAGCAUUUUAGUGCAUUUGUGUUUUGACUAUGAACUGCCCAGUGAGGCCAAGAAUACAAUUUUUUCACUUCUGGUGUCAUGACAGUGUUCAAAAAUAUUUUGGAUAUUAAAGUAUUGCAGGUUUUGAAUUUUUUCAGGUUAGGAAUACCUGUAAAUGACAGUCGUAUGGAAGAUAAAUAGUCAAACAUAGAUAGCUCUUCUUUGUUAGUAAGAAGGGCCUUGCAAUGGAAAUGAGAGAAAAAAAUCUAUAUCCCAAUACCAAGAAAUACUAAAAAAUAGUCAAAGAUAAAUGUACCAGAAAAGUUCAUAAAAAAAAAACCCAUAACAUUUUAAUGAAGGACACAAAAUGAAAUAUGAAAAAUGAUAAAGUCAUCAGUAAAAAAGGCAACAGACAAGCAAGAUAUUCAGAAAGAGUAUUUGCAAUGCUAAGGCCUGGCAGAGAAUAAACAGUAAAAGGCAUUAUUUUAAGUAGAUAUGUCUGUUGAAGAUUAAUAUGAAACACCAAAUAUUUACUGUGAGAAAAGUUGUGAGCAAAGCAACAGCCCUAUCAUCUGUGACUGGGAGAAACUUGUACUAUAGCCUUUGGGAAAGGAAUCUAGCAACAUCUAUUAUUUAAAAUAGAAACAGCUUGGGCUGGGGCUGGGGCUCAGUGGUAGAGCCCUUGCCUAGCAUGUGUGAAGCGCUGGGUUCGAUUCUCAGCAUGACAUUAAAAAAUAAAUAAAGAUAUUGUGUCCAUCUACAGCUAAAAAUAUUUUUUUUAAAAAAUAAAAAUAACUUUUAUUUGAGGACCUCCUGCCAUAGAAAUAACCAGACCAGUAUGUUUUUUUACGGGGUUCUCUUUUUUGUCUUUUUUGGAAGUGGGGGCAAACCCAGGGCUUUGCAAAUGCAAGGCAUAUGUUUUGCCACUGAGCUACAACCCAACCCUAUUUCUUUAAGCUUAUCUUGCAGAUAUUUCUUGCAGCAGUAUUCAUGGUAGAAAAAAACUAACAAGUUUUUUUUUAAAUAUUUUUAGUGUCAAUGGAUCUUUAUUUUAUGUCUUUGUAUGAAGUGCUGAGAAUUGAACCCAGGCCUCAAACAGCUAGGCAAAUGCCCCACCACUGAGCCCCAGCCCCAGCCCCUAAAAAGUUUUAAAAUGUGUUCUCAUUUAUCCAUUCAGAAAGUGCCUUCGUUAAAUUUCUUCUAGAUACUAGACACCAGGAGGUAGAACAAAGGGUUCCCACCUUGGGGGAAUGCUUGAUUGUAGCUGAGUAAAGGUACGCAGAGAAAAGAGCAAUGAGCAGAAUAUUUAAGACAGAGGUUCCUAUAAGCAAAAGCAAGGAGGGUAGAAAAGGCAGAGUGUGUUCUGCAGAAUGGGAGUGGUCCCCAGAAAAGAGAAUCACGUUCCAGUUACUUAAACAACAAAACAAAACACUGAUUCUUGAGUAAUUCUGGUGAACGGAGGCAGAUUGCCAAAUAGGAAUAGGGAGUUUGCCAUGGAUCUGUAUUGAGAUUCUAAUGCUUUUAAAAUAAAAAUGAAGCAGUAAUUACCAGGAUUUGAAAGGGGAAAGAAAGUCUUGCCAAAUUAAAUUGAUUUUCACUUUUCAUGAAAUCUCAAAACAAGGAAAACAUGGUGGAACAGUCAUAAUAACUGAUUAAAUGAUUGUCCAAAGUGCACUAGGUGAAAGGGUCAGUUACCUAGAAGGAAGUUUUUUUUUUUUUUUUUUCCCAAGAGAGAGAGAAUCUUUUAAUAUUUAUUUUUUAGUUUUCGGUGGACACAACAUCUUUAUUUUAUUUUUAUGUGGUGCUGAGGAUCGAACCCAGCGCCCCAUGCAUGCCAGGCGAGCGCGCUACCGCUUGAGCCACACCCCCAGCUCCCAAGAAGGAAAUUUUAAAUGUGAGAGAAUCUCAGGUGGAAUUAACAGGCAUAGAGAUGUGUGUCAAUCAGUUGUAUGUGAUAAGGACUAUUUUGGUAUUAAUACUGAAAAGUAAAUUAACAUGGGAUCAAGAUUUUUCCCCUAAUAAAUGUCUUACUCACUGGCAUUCAAAUGGUUUAGGUGAAUGAGGGAGAAGGAAAGGGACUUACAAUGUAGGAAGAAACACACAUAACCUUAAAAAGCUCAUAAAGCAUGUGGCUAUAUCCACAGCAGUAUAUUAUGUAUCUGUGCGUUGCUGCAGAGAAACUAUUGCAAACUGCUGUCCUUAUGGUUAGAAGCCUAGCUUUCUCAGAUUCCAGUUUCAUGAUUUGGAUCUUAAAUGAUAUCCAAAGUGAUGAUCUCAUCUUUAGAUGAGACUAAAGCUGGAAGUAUCUAAUAUAUUGACUCCAGGUGGGGGGAAAAACGAUGUUAAGACAUCUCAAUCUGCAUCUUGAAAAGGGGUUGGGAAAAGUUAAUUGCAAAUAAUAUAAAUCCUGUUUAGUCCAAACUUGUCAGAAUAUAAUUGGAACAUUGUUUUGAAAUUCUGUCUAUCAACCAUUGUAAGAAGGGCAAUAAUUAAAUGAUGCUGAUCUAGAGGAAGUCAAUCAGGCCAGAGACAGUGAUUAAAGGAACUGAAAUGUUUACAUUAGAAAAAGAAGACUCAGAGGUAUGAAAUUUGCCUUCAAAUAUGAAAUGCUGUUUUAAGAAUAGAAAAAAACAUAAGACUUUUUAUUGAGAUAGGGUUUGUACUGUUACAGAGUUUAGAAUUCCUUUUAAACCUGAGAUUCUAGGAAAUCCCUAGAUUUUUAUAAUAAAUCAGAAGAGCUGGUUUGGAAUGCCCAAAGCCCAUCUCUUUGAUAUCAAAGAUAAAGAACAGAGUUGAGACCAAAUUGCUGGGGCUACUGCCAGCAGAGCUUCCUGCAAUGGUUAAUUCAAAGAAGGGCAUCCAGAGGACAAGCCAGAGGGUUAGUUAACAAACAGGAAAGCUGGACAAAUGCCACAGUGAUGAGAAAACCAAACUCCAAAAAAUAAGGUGGCAGAAAUAACUAGGGAAACCAAAAGAUCAGGAUGCUAUGACCAGGGGGACUAGACUUAAAGGGAAGUAAAAUAAUGGAGCUGGAGGUUGGGGUGGGAUUACACAGUGACAAAGCACAAAUCAGCUUUGGCCAAAGUUUACUUCAGGUCAAAUCUGUGACCACCAUGUUGAGGAUGAACUGUGCUCAGCACAUAGUAAACAUGCAAUGAAUGUGAGUUAUUUGCAGCUUUACCCUGAUCCACUGGGACAUUAUCAAGUGUUUUAAAUGACCAAAACAUGCUAAGUAAGGACAAGGUCAUGGAUGCCUUAAACAUUAAGAAGUGUGGAUGUCUAAUUCAUGAAUUGACAUUAUUACCCUAUGUGCACAUAUAAUUUAAUGACCAGUGUGAUUCUACAUCAUGCACAACCAGAAGAGGGAGAAGUUGUACUCCAUUUAUGUAUGAUGUGUCAAAAUGCAUUCUACUGUCUUGUAUAACUAAUUAGAACAAAUUUAAAAAAGUAUGGAUAUUAUUCUACAGGCAAAAAGAAGCCCCCAAAGGCAUUUUGGGAUAUGCUUUUGGAACCUUACUUAUUGAGCAUUGUAAAGAGUAGAUGGGUAAUGAUACAAGAGGAGACAGAGCCAGUAGGUAAGGCUUUGUGCAAAAAUAGAAAGACCAUGGCCUUAAGGGGACAGGGAUCAGGAGUGCAGGAUUGAGAAACAUCCUACAGUGGGUAAAAUCACAGAGCUGGCUCUGUGUGGAGAAAACAUGGUCAAUAAAAAGAUGUGCCAUCUUUUUUAAAAAAUUAUUUAUUUAUUAUAAUUAGUUAUACAUGAAAACAGAAUGCAUUUCAAUUCAUAGUACACAUAUAGAGCACAAUUUUUCAUGUCUCUAGUUGUAUACAAAGCAGAGUCGCACCAUUUGUGUCUUCAUACAUGUAUUUAGGGUAAUGAUAUUCAUCUUGUUCCACCAUCUUUCCUAUCCUUAUACCCCCUCAGCCCCUUUGCGCUAUCUAAAGUUUCUCCAUUCCUUCCUUGCUCUGGUCUGCCAUCCCCAUUAUGGAUCAGCAUCCACAGAUCAGAGAACACAUUCAGCAUUUGUUUUUUUUUUGGAAUUGGCUUAUUUCACUUAGCAUCAUAUUUUCCAACUCCAUCCACUUACCUGUAAAGGCCAUGAUUUCAUUCUCCUUUAAUGCUGACUAAUGUUCCAUUGUGUAUAUAUACCACAGUUUCUUUAUCCAUUUAUCUGCUGAAGGGCAGCUAGGUUGGUUCCACAAUUUAGCUAUUGUGAAUUGUGCUGCUAUAAACAUUGAUGUGGCUGUGUCUCUGUAGUAUGCUUUUUUAAAUCCUCUGGGUAUAGAUUGAGGAGAGGGAUAGCUGGGUCAAAUGAUAUUUCCAUUCCCAGUUUUACAAGGAUUUUCCAUACUGCUUUUCAUAUUGGCUGCACCAAUUUGCAGUCCCACCAGCAAUGUAUGAGUGUACCUUUUUCCCCACAUCCUUGCCAACACCAAUUGUUGUUUUUAUUCUUAAUAGCUGCCAUUCUGACUGGAGUGAGAUGAAAUCUUAGAGUAGUUUUGAUUUGCAUUGCUAGAGAUGUUGAACCUUUUUUCAUAUAUUUGUUGACUGAUUGUAUGUCAUCUUCUGAGAAGUGUCUGUUUAGUUCCCUAGCCCAUUUACUGAUUGGGUUAUUUGCUUUUUUGGUGUUAAGUUUUUGGAGUUCUUUAUUUUUUAAAUUUAUUUAUUUUUAUUUAUAUAUGACAGUGGAAUGCAUUACAAUUCUUAUUACACAUAUAGAGCACAUUUUUUCAUAUCUCUGGUUGUGUACACAGUAUAUUCACACCAAUUUGUGUCUUCAUACCUGUACUUUGUAUAAUGAUGAUCAUCACAUUCCACCAUCAUUAAUAACCCCAUGCCCCCUCCCUUCCCCUCCAGUCCUCUGCUCUAUCUAGAGUUUGUGUAUUCCUCCCAUGAUCCUGCUCCCUAUCCCACUAUGAGUCAGCCUCCUUAUAUCAAAGAAAACAUUCAGCAUUUGGUUUUGGGGGAUUGGCUAACUUCACUUAGCAUUAUCUUCUCUAACUCCAUCUAUUUACCUGCAAAUGCCAUGAUUUUAUUCUCUUUUAUUGCUGAGUAAUAUUCCAUUGUGUAUAUAUGCCAUAUUUAUUUUAUCCAUCAUCUAUUGAAGGGCAUCGAGGUUGGUUCCACAGUUUAGCUAUUGUGAAUUGUGCUGCUAUAAACAUUGAUGUGGCUGUGUCCCUGUAGUAUGCUGUUUUUAAGUCCUUUAGGUAUAGACCAAGGAGAGGGAUAGCUGGGUCGUAUGGUGGUUCCAUUCCCAAUUUUCCAAGAAAUCAAGUUUUUGGAGUUCUUUAUAUAUCCUAGAGAUUAGUGCUCUAUCUGAUGUGCAUUCGGUAAAGAUUUGCUCCCAUUCUGUAGGCUCUCUAUUCACCUCACUGAUUGUUUCUUUUGCUGAGAAGAAGCUUUUCAGUUUGAAUCCAUCCCAUUUAUUGAUUCUUGAUUUUAUUUCUUGGGCUAUCUUAUUAAGGAAGUUGGGGCCUAAUCCAGCAUGAUGAAGAUCUGGGCCUACUUUUUCUUCUAUUAGGUGCAGGGUAUCUGGUUUUAUUCCUAUGUCCUUGAUCCACUUUGAGUUGAGUUUUGUGCAUGGUGAGAGAUAGAAGCUUCAUUUCAUUUUGCUACACGUGGAUUUCCAGUUUUCCCAGCACUAUUUGUUGACGAGGCUAUCUUUUCUCCAAUAUAUGUUUUUGGCACCUUUUUCUAGUAUGAGAUAACUGUAUUAAUGUGGGUUUGUCUCUGUGUCCUCUACUCUGUACCAUUGGUCUACAAGUCUAUUUUGGUGUCAAUACCAUGCCGUUUUUGUUAUGAUUGCUCUGUAAUAUAAUUUAAAAUCUGGUAUAGUGAUGCCACCUGCUUCACUCUUGCUAAGGAUUGCAAGAUAUACCAUUUUAUGGUACCCUUCUCAAGGACAUGACAGAGCAGGUCGGGAACAGCCAGCCCCAUUAAACACUAUUCACUCCAGCUGAGGUCAAAGGAAAGGAGGCUCUUUAAUGAGUAUAAAACUUUGAGCACUUGAAACUCAAAGCUUUGGUUCUUUUCGUAUGGCUUCUUUCAUUGUUCAAUUGCAUGAGAAAAGAAAGCUAAGUUUAAAAUUCUACUUAAAUUUGAGCUGAAAAGGGAUUAUCCUCUAGAGAAGUAGGAAGUUACAAUUUUAUAGAUAUAAACCUAUGUAGAUUUAUAGAUAUAAAUUUAUUCUCAUAGAAGCUAAAGAGAGAGGAAGUUUCAAGGGUGGAGUGUUCCAGUUUCAGAUGCUGCAACAUAGUCAAGUAAGGACUGAAAAGUGGCCAAGUAUUUAGAAUCAAGGCAUAUGGCCUACAGACUUACACAUCGAUGCCAAGAUCAUAGGAAAUGAACUUUUGAACACAUGGCAGUAAAUAAAAUCUUGAGAUACUGAGAUUUAGACAGAGCUCAAAGUUAGAACGUUAUAAAGGAAGGAUAUUUUAAAACAUUGCAAUGGACUACUUUAUAUGACAGAAAAACAUUGUUCAAUAAGGAAGAAAACCUUGUCAAAAAGAUAUAUAUCUGAGUAUAUUAUGGACCUAAAAGCCAUGGGAUUACAGAGAACAUUUGGAUAGUAUGGACAAUGUGGAUAGUAACUGACUUAAUGAGUAUACUGUUAGCUCCUGACAUGUUCUUAUAAAAAAAUCCAAGCUGUUGUGAGACUGAAUCAAUCCCAUCCUGUCAACUGCGACUGUCAUCAUACAUUUUAUUUCUACAUGUAUUCAACCCAAAAUACAUCUUAAAAUUAUUUUUGCUUUAGCAAAUUAACUUUUAAAGAAACUAAGAAAAAAAUACAGAUCUCUAUAUUACUUAACAUAUUUAUAGUUUCUUCUCAUUCCUUCCUUUCAACCCACAUUUCCAUUUCCUAUCAUUUCCUUUCAGGCUAGAAAACUUCCUUUGACCUUUCUUAUAGUAGAGAUAUACUGAUGACACAGUUGCUGUUUCUGAUUAACUGAAAAUGACUUUGUUUGCUUUCCUUUUAUUAAAAAAAAUACAUUUCUCUUUGAAAAUUUUCUUUGUAGUAAAAUAUAUAUGACAUAUGAUUUUGACCAUUUUAAGCCUACAGUUCAGUGGUUAUUAACCACAUUCAUAACUUUGUGCAGUCAUCACCAUUAUCUGUUUCCAAAACUUUAUAUCAUCUCCAAAAAACUUGGUAGCCCACCAUUAAGUAAUUACUUUCCUUCCACCCUUCCCCAGUCCCUGGUAGCCUCUAAUCUACUUCCAUCUCUAUUCUAAAUAUUUCCUGUAAGUGGAACCGUACAUUAUUUGUCCUUUUUGUAUGGCUUAUUUCACUUAUUAUAGUGUUUUCAAGGUUCAUUUGGGUUGUAAACGUAUUAGAAUUUCAUUCCUUUUUGAACCGUGUACCACAUUGAACUUGUCCUUUCAUCUGAUGAUAAAUACUUGGGUUGUUUUGCCUUGCAGCUAUUAUUAUGAAUAAUAAUGAAAUUAAUAUCAUGUAAAAAUAACUGUUGGGUCCCAUUUUCAACUUUGGGGGUGUUGCUGGAUCAUAUGAUAAAUCCGUGUCCAUCUUUUUGAGGAAAAGCUAAGCUGAUUUUCACAACAGCUGCAUCGUUGACAUUCCCACACUGUGAUGUAGAAGGUUUUUAUUUUCUCCAUAUUGUUAGCAACACUUGCUAUUUUCCUUAGUUUUAAUUUUUUAAAUUAUAGCCAUUUUAGUCUAUUUGAAGUGCUGCCUGUGGUUUAGAUUUGUAUUACCCUAAUGAAGAAUGGUGUCAAGCAUAUGUUCACGUGCUUACUGGCUGUUUAUAUAUCUUCUUGCAAAGAAUGUCUUCUCAAGUCCUUUGCCCAUUUAGUGUUGGGUUGUCUGUCUUUUUCUUGUUGAGUUGUAGGACAGAAAGAUAGAUGAUAGAUGGAUAGAUUCUGGCUAUUAAACCCUGUCAUAUAUAUGAUUCGAAAAUGUUGUCUCCCAUCCGAUAGGUUAUCUUUUGACUUUCUUGAUAAUUUUCUUUGAUGCACAAAGGUCUUCAAGGUUUAUGAAAUAAAAUUUAUCUAUUUUUUUUUCUUUUGUUGUUUGCAUCAUAACUAAGAAUCCAUUGCCAAAUCCAAGUUUUGUCCCUAUGUUUUCUUCUAUGAAUUUCAUAGUUUUGGCUCUUAUAUGUAGGUCAUUGAUCCAUUUUGAGUUAAUUUUUCUUUGUGGUGCAAGGCAGGGCUCCAGCUUUAUUCUUUCACAAAUUCCAUCAUCUCAUCAUCAUUUGUUGAAGAGAUAUUAUGUCCCUAUCAAAUGAACUCACCAUCCUGUCAAAAACCAAUAGGCCAUAGAUGAAUGGGUGUAUUUCUGGAUUCUCAAUUUUAUUCCUUUGGUUUAUAAGUCUAUACUUGUGCNUUAAACCCUGUCAUAUAUAUGAUUCGAAAAUGUUGUCUCCCAUCCGAUAGGUUAUCUUUUGACUUUCUUGAUAAUUUUCUUUGAUGCACAAAAGUCUUCAAGGUUUAUGAAAUAAAAUUUAUCUAUUUUUUUUCUUUUGUUGUUUGCAUCAUAACUAAGAAUCCAUUGCCAAAUCCAAGUUUUGUCCCUAUGUUUUCUUCUAUGAAUUUCAUAGUUUUGGCUCUUAUAUGUAGGUCAUUGAUCCAUUUUGAGUUAAUUUUUCUUUGUGGUGCAAGGCAGGGCUCCAGCUUCCAUCAUCUCAUCAUCAUUUGUUGAAGAGAUAUUAUGUCCCUAUCAAAUGAACUCACCAUCCUGUCAAAAACCAAUAGGCCAUAGAUGAUGGGUGUAUUUCUGGAUUCUCAAUUUUAUUCCUUUGGUUUAUAAGUCUAUACUUGUGCCAAUACUACUCGGUUUUGGUUAUUAUGGCUCUGAAGUAAGCUUUAAAAUUGGAAAGGAAGUUUGAGUUUUCUUUGUUCUUUUUCAAAAUCAUUACAGUUUUUCAGGGCUCUUUGCAAUUUCAUAUGGAUUUGAAAAUCAGCAUUUUGUGGGUAAUGCAUAUGGGAUUACUCCACAUUUUAUGGACUGCAGAAUAACCCUCAGAAGAAAGCUACGUAAAUGUGAAUAUCACCCAGUAUGGUUCCCUUCUUUUAAGGGUAAAAAGCAACUUCAGUCAUUGAAUUGUUCUUAAUAUUUUGUCCAGAGUGUAAGUUUUAUCAGCAUAAAUGUUUAUCUUAUACAAGCUACUCUAACGUUAGCAGAACAAGACUUCUAUUUGAAUAAUUUGUGCCUUUAUUAUUUAUUUUUGUUUUUUAUAUUAAUGGGAGAUCUCCUCACUCAACAGAAUCAGACCACUGAUGAGGGUAUCAGACCUAGGUGCUUCUGAAGAUUAUGUUUCUGGUGGUUAAGAAUUCAGGCUCUGUCAACCUAGGUGUCCUUCAACAGAUGAAUGGGUAAAGAACAAGUGGCAUAUAUAAACAAUGGAGUAUCACUCAGUGAUGAAGAAGAAUGACUUUAUACAGACGGCGGGUCGAGCCGAGAAGCGGCCAGCAAGCAGAGAGAAACGGCUCUGUGAAUUCUGUGGAGUCCUGCCGGCUGUGCCCUCACUGAGCUCUGGGCUGAGUUCGGGGUUUGAGACGGGGGAAGGAAGCGGUCCAGUUCUAUCCCCCACACUGGACAGUCCACCAAGGAAGCCAGCGGCCACCAUCUUGGAGAGUUGACGUCACCAUCGCCAGUUUCCAACAGAUUGCAACAAUAAAACAGGUGUGUGUUACUCAGCCCAUCUCCCAUACAGCGGGGAAUUCGCAUAAAAUCUCUCCCCGGCUCAGGGGAGGGAUUAUCAGAACGAGCCUGCAUAGAGACGUGGGGAAAAGUAAAGACACCUGACCUCCAACUCCCCCUCCCAUCAGCUGCGAAAACAAAACCUGUCUUGCCAGCUCUGGGGGAGGGGCAAGCGGAAAAAAUCAAAACAAUAGGGUGCCAGUUCCCAAUAGCCACCCUCCACACCCAGCAAACUUCAGGCCCAGAGUACAGUUUGAACUACCGAGAGGCAUCACACUGGGGAAGGCAUGGCUAGCAGGAGAAGCCAGGGGACGAGAGGCCAGGAAUAAACCUAAGCUAACAGGUUUUUGAGAACACCAGGAGGGGAGGAGGGAGCAGCCUCACAUGGACUGUAUCCUACAGCCAGAGGGCAAAAUCUUGGCCCGGACAGCACAGCACCACCUACUGGAAGCGAAGAAAAUAGAAGCCUAACAGUGCCCCCCCCCUUUUUUUUUCUCUUAUCUCAUUUUUUUAAUUCUUUAAUUUAAAAUUUUGUUUGUUUGCUUGUUAAUUAUUUUUUUCUUCAAUUGUAAUUUUUUUAAUUGUAAUUUUAUUUUAUUGCAUUUUAUUAUUUUUUUAUCAUUUCUUUUCUUUUCUAUUCUUUUCUCUUUCUUCUCUCCCUCUCUCUUUCUUGGUUUGCGUCCUUAACUUUUCCCCAUCUUUCCUCUUAAGCAUGAACACCCAGAUUACAUAUAACUUACUAAAUGCAAGUAGAUGAAUGCUACGAAUAGGUCUAUAGUCCACCUAAGCCCUUAACUACCCCCAAGUACUCCUGUCUAUUCUCUUGUUAAUAUCCGCCUGCAUUUGAGCAACCCCCCAAAGAAGCUAACAUACUAACCUCCAUACCAUCAAAUCGCCCGACCUUAACAUAAAAUCCUAAGUCCAAACCUCAGUUCUCUAUAUGCCAUCAAAAUCUGAAGGCCUUUAAUGAAACUAAUGAAUUUACCUUAAAUCACAAUUAAAUCCAACAUCUCUAAACAUUGUCUCCUAACACAAAGGAGAGAUAGUGGAACUAUAAAAACCAAAAAAAAUUUAAAGGAGAAAACAGAAACACAGCAGUCAAACAGAGUUGGAAAGUAACUUGAGCACCAUGAAAAAACAAGGGAAAAAAGGAUUACAAACAAUGCAGGGCAACUUAAAUACACAGGAGAAUCUAGAGGCAUCAGAAAAAUGGACAGAGAAAGAACUCAAGGCAUACAUAACUCAGAUGGAACGGAAUCUUAGAGAAGACUUUAGACAGCAAGUUCAAACAAUGAAAGUAUAUUUUGAAAACGAAUUAAAUAAGCAAAUUAAAAUGGCAAAGAACGAGCUCUAUCAGGAAAUAGAGAUUUAAAAAAAAAUCAAAUAGUAAUCCUA
rnacentral:lncRNA from 1 species